CACUCGGCCUCCUCUCGCCGCCAUCGCAGACGCGGUCGCUUUCCCAAUGCCAGUGUUCCCACCUGUCACACACAUCAGACACAGCUCUGUACUUUCCUGAAUAUCCACAUCCGAGUUCACAUCUACGAAGUUGAACAACCUCUGAGAAAUCAUGCAGAUAAACUUUUGCACGAACGUCUGUUUCACCUACCGGUUACAAUGACUGUCUUCCCAUGUAGUUUGGCUGUGCCGGUGAAGGU